UUUAUUGUUGGUUUACUUAUUGCAGCAAAUGGAAAGCUCAACAUUUCGAAUGCGUGGAGUGGAUCUAAACUGCUACUAAAUCAUGAUCAUCCACAAGUUUAGGAAUUUAAGACAAAAUUUCUGGAUGUUAAUCAAGAACAAACAGCUACCCAAUCAUUUUCUCUGAAUUCGUGUUCACAAGGAGCAAUUGACGACAGGGCUUUUUCAUUCACCAAGGAUAUUCUAAGCAUUGCUGAGAUGGCCCAUCUUACUGAAGAAACCUUCUGCAAUACUGAUGGUAAGACAAUGAGGUUCAGGGCGAACCCUUUCUGGUGGUUUUAUGAGUUGUGUCCAACUUGUAACAAAACCAAUCAAUCUCCCGAUAACCCAUUCAGGUGCAACUGUUCUGAUAAUAACUCUACUCCUAUCACUAAGUAAGCAUUGUUAUUGGUUGAAAUAUAUUCUUAUAUUUGUUUUUGGUUUAUAUAUAU